GUGGGGCUAGGCUCAGUGGUGGAGCACUUGCCUAGCACACUAGAGGCACUGGGUUUGAGCCUCAGCACCACA
rnacentral:tRNA from 1 species